CAGCCGCCACGGGAAUACAGAGGGUGCAAGCGUUAAUCGGAAUUACUGGGCGUAAAGCGCGCGUAGGUGGUUUGUUAAGUUGGAUGUGAAAUCCCCGGGCUCAACCUGGGAACUGCAUCCAAAACUGGCAAGCUAGAGUAUGGUAGAGGGUGGUGGAAUUUCCUGUGUAGCGGUGAAAUGCGUAGAUAUAGGAAGGAACACCAGUGGCGAAGGCGACCACCUGGACUGAUACUGACACUGAGGUGCGAAAGCGUGGGGAGCAAACAGGAUUAGAUACCCCUUAGUCCCUGUCUCUUAUACC
rnacentral:rRNA from 1 species